UACGUAGGGCGCAAGCGUUGUCCGGAAUUAUUGGGCGUAAAGAGCUCGUAGGUGGUUUGUUACGUCUGCUGUGAAAACCUAGGGCUUAACCCUGGGCCUGCAGUGGAUACGGGCAGACUAGAGGUAGGUAGGGGAGAAUGGAAUUCCCGGUGUAGCGGUGAAAUGCGCAGAUAUCGGGAGGAACACCGGUGGCGAAGGCGGUUCUCUGGGCCAUUACUGACGCUGAGGAGCGAAAGCGUGGGGAGCGAACAGG
rnacentral:rRNA from 1 species